CGUCAAAUCAUCAUGCCCCUUAUGACCUGGGCUACACACGUACUACAAUGGCGGUCAACAACGGGAAGCGAAGGCGCGAGCCGGAGCAAAACCCCAAAAGCCGUCUCAGUUCGGAUCGCAGGCUGCAACCCGCCUGCGUGAAGUCGGAAUUGCUAGUAAUCGCGAAUCAGCAUGUCGCGGUGAAUACGUUCCCGGGCCUU
rnacentral:rRNA from 1 species